AUUUUCCUUAUAUUCUAGAGCUAUCUUUAUAUUGUACAACAUACCUUGAAAUUCCAUAUAAACUGUUUAUAUAUCCACCUGCCCUGCAGCAUUCCACAUUUUAUAAAACAGCAGUUUCCCCAAAAUGUCUAAAGUAAAACAAAUUUUUGUAAACACAUCCCAGUUUUCUAUUAAAUUCAGAAUUUUCCAUGCAAAUAGAAAGGUUCCCUAUGGUACAAAGGUGAAAUUUUAGGAAAUAAUUAAGCAAUAAUAUCCCCAGUUCCUCUCAUCUAUCAUCAUCAUACGUUAUUAUCGUCAUUGAAAAAGUAAUAAGAGGCAUUGUUACAGAGUGGGAAGAUCAAGGUCUUGGAGCCUAGUCUUUCCUCUUAAUGGUUGUAUAGCUUUAGGUAAAUUACUUCUCUGUGCCUCAGUUUUCUCAUUCAGUGGGGUAAUAAUAACUUUUAUAAGUUGUGCUUGAUACAUAGUGGGAUUUCAAAUAUAAAGUAAAGAUAUGUACCCCAUUGUUCAUUGCAGCAUUAUUCAUAAUAGCCAAGACAUGGAAACAGUCUAAGCAUCUUUUGACAGAUGAUUGGAUAAAGAAGAUGAGGUACAUAUAUACCAUGGAAUGCUACUCAGCCAUAUUUUAAAAAAAAGUACAAUGUAUUAGCUUUUAAACAGGUAGAAGAAAAUUGCCCAUUGCUACUCAAUGGAAAGCAAGGGGGGAGGAGGUAGUUAAGUAGAAUUUGUGAAAUAACAGCAGAAAUAAGCUCUAAGUUAAAAUGAAUGUAAGCAUUUCAAAUUUAACCGAAGACAGACUCUCACCCUUCUUUUUCAUUUUCACUUGCCCUUCCCUGCAUAGAGACAUUAGUGUUUGAGGAAGUAAAUGCGUGGAGGAAUUGGUGUGCCGGAGCUCAUGGAUGCCCACUGGUGAGAGUUGCCACAGUGAAACAGCCCAGCAGCAGAGCAAGGGCUGAUGGCCUGACUGCACGCACCUUCUUUCCAUACCUGUUUUCAGAGAGCAGCUCUCACUGUAUGACCACCAUCAGCUCCUUCCACUUAUCAGAUGGGCGAAAGGGACGCUGGAAGAACAAGAUCAGUCUCUCCCCAAGCAGGAAAGCCAAGGUUGCAGCCUUCCAGCCCUAGGGGUUUUGAGUUUUGCUUCCUGCCCAGGGGAACAGCUGGCUGGCAGAGGCCAGAAGUGACGCACUUCUCCAGCAGCAGCCAGCCCCACUGGCCACAGCCCAGGACUUCCCGACUGGAGGCCAUCACGUCACGGGCGCACAGGUGGCUGGACCCGUG